UGGAUGAAAAGAUGAUGGAACCAAAGACAAUGGUGCUACAGGAACAAGAGUAACUCCAGGACCAGCCCGCUGUUUUCCUAUAGCGGUGGCCACUACAGAAGUUAAACUGUAAGCUUGCCGACUGCUGAUAUAUUCUGGACCCAGUUUCUGACGAAGAGCAUGCUGGAUGGCUUGAUAUUCAUUUGCUGUAAAUUGAUACUUGAUGGAAACAAAAUUACUGACUGUAAUCAUCGACUCCCCUGGGUUAUGAUGGCAUCACACAAACCAUGCAGAGCUGGAAAACAUACAGAACCUCCAACAAUGUGAAGAAGUUGUGCCAAUAAUUCAGUAGAUGGCACCCUUUUCCAAGCCAGUACCCAGCAAGUACCCGAUGGUAACCGUGCUACCACUAUGCUGUGCUGCUAAAGAAGUGGUUGUCCUGUUAAGUGCCCAUAUGACAGGAGCACAAGGGAGACUCAGCAACACUUCUACAGAAGUCCACAGAGGCAAUCUUUUACUGUAUUUGCACAAAUACUGAGUGCAACUGGA